CACACGAUGACGAUUCACGCAAACGAAGAAGAACAAGACCAGACUCCGACCCGGCGUCAGCAUCCGAUUCCAAUGCGGACAGCCAGGACUCGCCGCCGCAGCGGAGUCACAGCCACCACGGCCGACGGCGCCGCGAUUCUGAGGACAGCGACGAUGGCAGGAGGAGGAAGAGAUCGUCUUCGAAGAAGAUUACGGACGAUGGCGUUGCCCAGUACCUUGCCAAGAAAGCUCAGAAGAAGGUGCCGUUAGUAGGUACUGUUUUCGAAGAAGAUUACGGGCAAUGACGUUUAUUUCUGUCCUGGACCGAUUUCUCAUGUUGGACAGCAGUCUACUAGGGGAAGGGUAGUCCGUCGACGAUCUUUGAAACGGUAUGGAUUGGAUCGGGGUUUUGUAUUCUCCAUUAUUUUGCCUAGUUUGAAGAGUUUCCUGAGGAGAUGUAUUUCGGGCUUUGGCUUUGCUCAAGGUCAUCGUCCUCGGCUAUAUCGGGGUAGGGAAGACAUCUUUGAUGAAUCAGCAUCCUAAACUUGGGCAUAUAAACACCACUUUUGCAAGAUCAUUUACUGCUGGUGUAUUAGCAGACAGGGUUUUCGUUAAAAAGUGACAAAUAAAAUUGCUACUUAGUGAUUUUAAUAUUAUGCCAUGUUUGAUUUCUAGAUUAGAGUAACAUUGUAUUACAAAGUAUAUGAGAAUGCAUUUUUAGUAUUUUUCGCUGUGGUAAAUGGCGGAGGGAUUACUUAACCAAGUGCAUAUCAGUUUUACAACGGGGUUUUCAAUGCUUGAAAACUACGUCAUUUUAGUGCAUAAACGGUGCCAUGUGCCCCCUGCAUUUGAGUUCAUUGUGUUAGAAACCACUGUAAUGUUUGUGGUUCUUUAACGAUUACUCCAGAUAUAUCUACAAGAAAUUCAGGCAACAAUAUAUGUCUACAAUUGGAGCCGAUUUUGUCACAAAAGAACCAAAGAUUGAUGGAAAACCGGUCACUUUGGAAAUUUGGGACAUGGCUGGGCAAGAAAGUCUGCAUCCUUGUAUAUGAUGUGAAUAUACUCAAGUCAUUUGAGACACUUCAAAAUUGGCAUGACGAGUUUCUUAAGUAGGUUACAAUCUUUUUGCUCGAUGGUUUAUUUUUAAAGAUUAUACAUGGGCAUUAAACCACUUUAGUUUCCACAUCUCUAUUUGGGUGAGGGUUGCGGUUAUAUAUCAAAUAGAUCUAUUAUUUUCUCUACACAACCAAACAUGAGGAUUGAAUUUGGAAUCUUUUAUUCUUCCUCCUUGUCCUUCAUUUUCCCUCUCCAUAUCUCUUUCCCUCCUCGGAUUGAAAUGGCAAGCGUAGCAUUGUUGGAGUUAUAUAUUGAUCCUAGCUAGGGAGCAACCAUAGAUCAAAUGCGUUCAUUAAGCCAUCUUAUGCAUAGAUACAAUCACAUUAAAGAACAUAAAUAAAGUGAAGGGAUUUCAAGAACAGAUCUCUUGUAGUUCGUUUUUUGCGUAGAGGUUUAAAAAAAGGAAUAACAAACCAGAUUCUAAGAUAGCAUUUGAUACCUCUGGUUUUUGAUGAUUGGUUUGAUAUGUAACUCUAGGCAGAUUCGAAGGAGCCAGAUACAUUUCCUUUCGUGAGAUCUGUUAUCAAUAUGGUGAGGAUGCACUCAAACAAGGAAUGGGUGGUGGCGCUGGUAUGCAUGACCCAUUUGAUAUCUUCCAGCUAUUUUUGGUCGUGGAAGCCUAUUUGGAGCUUGGUUACAAAGGAAUUUAUUGAGCUGCUGCUGAGAGGAAUUGUGGAGAGUAACUGCUGAAGAAAUCAAUGGCUUGCAGAUAGAUAGUAGCUGUGCCUUCUGCCAUUGAUGCCUAUCCGAUAGUCCACCGAAAAGGCAUGAUGUUAGGGGGGCCAUUGAUGCCAUGGAGAAGAUGGCUGAUCAUGCUGUUCUUGCUGAUGUGAUACGCUUUUUGAUUGGAUACCUGCACUUGUCUACUUCCGCUCCUUACAGGCCUUCUUGAAAGCAGCAUGGAUAGUUUCUGGGUUUUGUUUUUCAGUUUCCAAUUUGUGUUACAGGUUGCCAAAUGUCUAACACAUGCUAAGUGUCGCUAUCACCAAUACUCUUCCAUUUCGAAGCCAACUCCUGAAAUUCCAAUAAUGGCUCAUUGGGAAGGAACAGUCAACGGUAUCAUUUUGUACUAAGCAAAACUUUAAUAAUUUACUCCACCUUUGUGCGAAUAGAACCUUUUUUUUAUUACUAUUUGGUUUGUUUGUUUCUGCGACAAUGAGUUUUAGUGCGGUGCAAUAAAUUUCAGUUGAGGAUUUUUAGUUAAUUGAUGAUAACGAUUUGAUUAUUUGAAUUUUCUUGUAGAUAACAAUUUUUGCAUGUGAAUAUCCUAAUUCCUUUUUGAAAAUUCUCGAGGCAUGCUGCUUCUGGCUAGGCGUUCCGCUAUUUUAGUUCUAAUAAUUACUGCUUUUAUCAAUUUUUUUUGCUCAUGAAGAGUAGUGACUGAAUGUUACUGAAGGGUAUAAACUAGCUGUUUGGACGUAAUGUAUAUUACUGAAACUACCUUUUUGAAAGCAUGCAUUCAGUACCAUAUUGGAGAUUAAGU